GUACCGUGAGGGAAAGGUGAAAAGAACCCCGGGAGGGGAGUGAAAAGAACAUGAAACCAUAAACUUAUAAUCAGUAGGAGGACGACUUGAACGUCUAACUGCGUGCCUGUUGAAGAAUGAGCCGGCGACUUAUAAUUAACGGCAGGUUAAAGUAGAGAAUACUGGAGCCAUAGUGAAAGCGAGCUUGAAUAGGGCGUUUGUCCUUAAUUAUAGACCCGAACCCGGAUGAUCUAACCAUGAUCAGGUUGAAACUUAGGUAAUACUAUGUGGAGGACCGAACUGACUGAUGUUGAAAAAUCAGCGGAUGAAUUGUGGUUAGGGGUGAAAUGCCAAUCGAAUUCGGAGCUAGCUAGU
rnacentral:rRNA from 1 species